GUUAUGGAUACACUGUCUGCAGUGAAGUCAGUCAUUUGGAAUGAUUUGAUGUUUCUCCUGAGUACAAGAAGCUGCAUGUAGAUCACAGAGCAUAUAGUUAUGGAUAUACAGUCUGAAGUGAACGCAGUCAUUUGGAUUGAUUUGAUGUUUCUCCUGAGUACAAGAAGCUGCAUGUAGAUCACAGAGCAUAUAGGUACAAUGGAAUCUGCAACAAAGCCUUAUUGCUGUGUUGUGUGCUCAAAGAGGACUAAGGCCAAGGACAGAAGACCUGUAGGAGGCAUAACCAACAAAGCAUUUAGAAAAUACCUAGAAAAAUGUUUCAUGAUCAAAGCGGUUGAUGGUGACAUUACUUGUGGAAAGUGUCGCAUGAAAUUUUAUAAUAAGAAGACAUCUCAACAUAUUGUUGCCAAUAAUUCUAUUUCAGAUGUCCCCAAAGAGGUUGAUGUUGUAGGCAAAGUAAAGUCUCCUCGCAACAUUUCUCUAAAGUUGUCGUCUGUGGCAGGAUCGUCAAACAGCACUUGUUGUGUAUGUCGAAAAGGGAUGUGAAAGUCCAUUGUAGUGUCAACAUU